GCUGCAUUCCGCUGAGGUUACUUGACAUAGGCAUGCACAAACAAAUUCUCAGUGCAAUUUACAUUUUGGAAAAGUGUCUUUCGAAUUCUUUUCAUAAAUGUGUGCCGAGAUACGCUUGGGAAAGAAUGCAAAGCAACUGUUGACAAUCGUGUAAUCGCCCGCAUGCAAUUUGAGUUUGAGACCACUGGCUUAAAGCAUACAUACUUAUUGCAACUGCUGCUCAGAAGAGAAUGUAAAAGUUCCUUCAUAUGCCAUUUAACUGAGUGAAGAUCUUGGAACAAGUCCUUUAUUCAGAGCAUAGUAUCUUCAGUUCCCUCAUCCCUGAUUUUACAGGUAUAUUUCUAACCUGAAUGAGUGAUUUUAUGUAUAAUUUUCUUUAGAUAUUUAACUUUCAUUUAUAUCAUUUCAGUUGAAAAUUUUUUGCAUAAAGGGUGAAAUGUUAGUAGCGGUGUAAUUUAAAUACUUUAUACCCACUUCACUGCAUUAACCCCUUCGAGCUGGGUAGCGAAAACGUGCGCUUAUCGUGGAGGCCAGCAGUGUCUUACGCGAGCGUCUCUCCAGGGCCGGGGGCUUUUUUGCUACUAAACCUAAAUCCAUGAAAUUUCCGAAGUAUCAAUGCAUUGUUUAAUAAUGCUCUAUAGAGUAUUUAAAUGGCUUA